UUGCCGCCAUUCCAGGGCUUUGGAAUGCUGCUGAUGGAGGAGGCGGAGCGGAUCGCCCGGGAGGAGCACGGGGCGCGGAAAAUCGCCGUCAUUUCAGGUGUCGGCACCAGGGAUUACUACAGGAAGAUCGGCUACGAGCUGGAGGGGCCCUACAUGGUGAAGUGGCUGGAAUGAUGGUCCUGGAGAGCCUCAUCCUGAAAUCCUGAAAUCCUGAAGCCCAGGAUUUGCUUCUGCCAGAGCCCACGGCUGCCAAGAGCUCCAGAGCUGGACUCGAUGAUCCUGGAGGUCCCUCCUAAUUCCAUGAUUUUGGGAAAUGGGACAUCGUCUCCUCUGGAGGAGCAGCUCUGGGACGUUCCAGGUGUCUCGUCCUGGGUCCAUCCUGCUGCAUCCUCGGGAUGAAUUUCAGGAUUUUGGGGUGGUCCUGGUGGGAAAAACGCCUUUUGUCUGCUGCUGUCGGCUUUUCCUGGUUCAUGGGGCGCGUCUCUCGGGAAUAAAUUCCGUGUUUAUUUAUUCA